AUAUUGGACAAUGGGGGCAACCCUGAUCCAGCCAUGCCGCGUGUGUGAAGAAGGUCUUCGGAUUGUAAAGCACUUUAAGUUGGGAGGAAGGGCUUUAGGCUAAUACCCUGAAGUUUUGACGUUACCAACAGAAUAAGCACCGGCUAACUCUGUGCCAGCAGCCGCGGUAAUACAGAGGGUGCAAGCGUUAAUCGGAAUUACUGGGCGUAAAGGCGGGGUAGGUGGUUCAAUAAGAAGGGUGUUGAAAUCCCGGGCUUAACCCGGGAAAUGCUUUUCUAAAUGGUGGGGUAGAAGAAGGGAGAGGGUUAGGGGAAUUCCUGUGUAGGCGUGAAAUGGGUUAAUAUAGGAAAGGACCCCCAGUGUUGAGGCCAAUAACUUGACUGAUUCCUGCACCUGGGGUCGGAAAGCGUGGGGGGAAAAC
rnacentral:rRNA from 1 species